AGAGUUUGAUCCUGGCUCAGGAUGAACGCUAGCGGCAGGCUUAACACAUGCAAGUCGCGGGGCAGCGGGAGUAGCAAUACUCGCCGGCGACCGGCGGAAGGGUGCGUAACGCGUGAGCAACAUGCCCGUAUCAGGGAGAUAACCGAUGGAAACGUCGCCUAAUAUCCCAUAACAACAGGUUCCGCAUGCUACCUGUUUGAAAGUUGAGGCGGAUACGGAUUGGCUCGCGUGACAUUAGCUAGUUGGAGUGGUAACGGCACACCAAGGCGACGAUGUCUAGGGGUUCUGAGAGGAAGGUCCCCCACACUGGAACUGAGACACGGUCCAGACUCCUACGGGAGGCAGCAGUGAGGAAUAUUGGUCAAUGGACGCAAGUCUGAACCAGCCAUGCCGCGUGCAGGAAUGAGGCCCUAUGGGUCGUAAACUGCUUUUGUGGUGGAGCAAUAAGCGUCACGUGUGGCGCGAUGAGAGUACAUCACGAAUAAGCAUCGGCUAACUCCGUGCCAGCAGCCGCGGUAAUACGGAGGAUGCAAGCGUUAUCCGGAUUUAUUGGGUUUAAAGGGUGCGUAGGCUGUUUGUCAAGUCAGAGGUGAAAGCCCGGGGCUUAACUCCGGAACUGCCUUUGAUACUGUCAGGCUUGAAUACUGUUGCCGUGGGAGGAAUGAGUAGUGUAGCGGUGAAAUGCAUAGAUAUUACUCAGAACACCGAUUGCGAAGGCAUCUCACGAAGCAGUGAUUGACGCUGAGGCACGAAAGCGUGGGGAUCAAACAGGAUUAGAUACCCUGGUAGUCCACGCAGUAAACGAUGAUGACUAACCGUCGGCGAUACACAGUCGGUGGCCAAGCGAAAGCGAUAAGUCAUCCACCUGGGGAGUACGACCGCAAGGUUGAAACUCAAAGGAAUUGACGGGGGCCCGCACAAGCGGAGGAACAUGUGGUUUAAUUCGAUGAUACGCGAGGAACCUUACCCGGGCUCGAACGGUGCAGGAAGAGAUCCAGAGAUGGUGACGUCCCUUCGGGGACCUGUAUCGAGGUGCUGCAUGGUUGUCGUCAGCUCGUGUCGUGAGAUGUUGGGUUAAGUCCCGCAACGAGCGCAACCCCUAUUGUUAGUUGCUACGCAAGAGCACUCUAGCGAGACUGCCGUUGACAAAACGGAGGAAGGUGGGGACGACGUCAAAUCAUCAUGCCCCUUAUGUCCUGGGCUACACACGUAAUACAAUGGCGUUCAACAAAGGGAAGCGAAGCCGCGAGGCGGAGCGAAUCCCGAAAAGGCGUCUCAGUUCGGAUUGCAGGCUGCAACUCGCCUGUAUGAAGUCGGAAUUGCUAGUAAUCGCGGAUCAGCAUGCCGCGGUGAAUACGUUCCCGGGCCUUGUACACACCGCCCGUCAAG
rnacentral:rRNA from 1 species